rnacentral:misc_RNA from 1 species
AUUAGAAUACCAAAUGUGAAUGAAUUGUUAACCUAUAGUUUUGUCUAAUUUACUGAAGAAAUAAAGCAUGAAUGAGCUUUUUCAUUUUCAGAGGGUUAGAAAGAAAUCAAAUGGAAAAAUAACAAAACUAGAAUAGCCAAUCAGAGGCUACAAACUACAAACUAAUGCUCUGAGUUGGAUACUCAUGAAACCGCAUAUGUUGUCAACCCCUAUUAGAUAGACACUCAAAUUCCACCACCUUAAUUGAGAAGUAAACAAUUGAAACACCAAAUACAAGCCAUCCUUUCAACCAAAUACAGGGUAAAUUGGUUUUA